CAAGAGAAGCAGCAACAUCUUCAAGUACAGCAAACAGCUUCUGUAGAAAAAGCAUAUGAGUUAUACUGGAAAGUUACAGAACAAAGAGAAAAAGACAAACAAAAAUGCCGUGGAUAUGGGCCAUUUUGAUAGCAGUGCUGGUGUGCCUUCUGAUUGUGCACUUUCUGAAACAACUCUGGUCACACAGGAACUAUCCUCCAGGGCCUCUUCGGCUUCCUCUCAUUGGAGGCAUGUGGCGGGUAUUGCCAAACUUUUCUGAGGAUAUUUUGAUUAAGGCUUUUCCUUUGAAUGCUGGAAGAUGUGGGCUGCUGAUCUGUUCUUUAAACACCACCUGUAUGGCCCCGUGCAUGUAUUGGGGAACAGUUGGCAAGGAUCGAACUCUUCAUCUUCUUCAGCAAUCUGUUGAGGUCAUUCACCUUUCAGCCACCAGAAGGAGUGAAAAAAAUAAAUGAAAAGCCUGUAGUACGAAUGGUUACCCCUCCACGACCUUAUAAGAUCUGUGUUAUUCCCCGCAGUAGUGGCUCAUAAGCCACAACAAUCUAAAGAGAAGCUUUUUUGUUGGAAUCCAUUCCAUCCAUUGUCACAUCAUCUAACAUUCUGCUGAUCCAUGCUGUCCUUUAGUUUCCUCAUUUGAUUAGAGCUGUUUAGAGAAGGAAUUCAGACAGAUCUCUACUGUUCACUCUUUUCUUAUUAUCACCUAAUAUAUGAGAUAUAAUGGUUGUUGUGGGUUUUCCGGGCUGUAUUGCCGUGGUCUGGGCAUUGUAGUUCCUGACGUUUCGCCAGCAGCUGUGGCUGGCAUCUUCAGAGGUGUAGCACCAAAAGACAGAGAUCUCUCAGUGUCACCAAUGCCAAGACCACGACAAUACAGCCCGGAAAACCCACAACAACCAUCGUUCUCCGGCCGUGAAAGCCUUCGACAAUACAUAUGAGAUAUAGUUUGCUGACUCUGCAGAAAAGUUCAAUACAGAAUGUUUGCCAUAUAUAAAAUGGAAAUUUGUUUAUUUAUCUAUGCGCUGUUGAAAGACAAAAUUUGUGCCUCUUCACUGAGUAAACUCUUUGAUAACUUCUAUCAGCCAUUUGUAUAUUCUGUAUUAUUUUAGAAGAGACAAAUCUCAUUUUGAGAAUGGUUGUGCUAAAAAAGCAAAUGUACACACUGAGAAGGAACUUCAUGAAAACCAGUUUAUAAUUACAAUAAGUCAAUUAAGAUAGAAAUUAUCAAAGUGCUGAUAUAAUUUACAAAGGCUAGUGAUACUAAUGUGGGCAAAAGCUAUCAUUUUGUGACACCUUCGAGUUGAUUUUUAUUUAAAGUGGUACAGAAAUGUCCAUACUUAAGACCUCUGAUGGAUUAAAUGACUUAACAAUGGUGUCACCUUAAAAGUAACCAAAUGCCUUAUUAACUGUAUGUUUACCUUGCAAGGCUCACUCCAGAAAUAAUCCUGGGCCCAGCCUACUUACCAGAGAGCCAGUUUAUGGGAUAUGGGAUGUUGGCACAGGGCAAGGGCUCCUGCCACUAUGUCUGAGCCCAUGUAGCUCCCAGAGGCCCUGCAUGACUAUGUGUGAGCAAAAGAGCCUGAACUGCCAAGCUGGCCAAACAAGGCCAGCCAUCCGGAUACAAGUGGGCAGUCCUGAUCAGCAGACCUGAGAGUUUUAGUUUCCAUUCAGGCCCACCAGAAAGCUUUUGGGAAGGUUCUGCCCGGCCACGCUCAGGUUCUUCCAAAACUGGCUUUGAAGCAGGAGCAGCAUAGCAGCAGAGGAGGAACAGCAGUCUGCACCCAUGUGGCAGCAAGUGGCAGGCAGUGGCAGUGAGCAGAGGCUGCAGCAGCAGCGUGUGCACUUGGGCCUGUCCAGGGCGCUCAUUGAGUGGAGCUAGUGAGCAACAUCAGGGGCCUGGGGCUGCCCAGCGGCUGCAGGUCAAGCACAAGCAGUGCAUUUCUGGGCAGCCUCCCAGUGGCCCACAGAGAGCCUCGGCAGCAUCGCUGGGCUUUGGGACACCCCCAGGGCAGUCUCCAAGGAUAGAGGGCUUUAAAAGAUGCACAUGGGGGUAGUGAUAGCGCCUACCCAGAAAGGCACCUCUACAGGCUACCUGAGGUUCCUCUUUCAACGGGCCGGUGUGGUGUCUAGGCAGACACUAUUUGGCACCAAGAAGCCUGCUAGGUCAGACUCCCAAUGGGGGCCAAAGGAAAGCCUGCAACAGCCCCCAUGACUGCUGCAGGGGGGCUCCUGAGGUAGACCCAGGGGAUGGAUGGGAGAGGCAUGCAGCCUGACAGGUCUGUCUGCUGGGGCCCUUCUGAGGCUAAGAGACACUGCACUUUGCAAGGGUUAUGUAGGGGGCUUGAAUUACUCAAUGAAAAGGUGAAAGAGGUGUCUCCAUGUCUGGGGAAUGCAGCCCCAAAAGCUAUCAAAGCCCCCUCCCGGGCUGCAGGUAGGUUUCUUUGGGGAGGGGGUGCAAAUCUUUGUGAGGGAGUUUGAGUGAGGGAAUGUGUAUUUUGCUGGCCUCCUGCAUGCAACACCUCUGUCUAAAUAUUCAAAAUUGGCUUCUUUUGUUAUUCGCACAUACACACUUCUUCCCCGUGCUGCUGCAGGGACAAUGAGGCCAGCCAGUUUCCUAAGAAUCCUUGUGGUGAUUCAAAUUUUCCAAAUGUCUUAAACGGUCUUUGUAAUUUUUUGCUAUAUCAAUAAUUUUGUGUGCUUUACUUCUUUGUGUUAGCAUGGGGUUAAGUGGAGACCUCUGAGGUGAGAAGGAAUCGGGCUGGAGGGGUAAGAGGAGCGUGCUGUGAAUACAUUGAAGAUGUACCUUGAGGGGCAGGGAACUGCAGUUUUUAGUCUGAGUGCUGAGGGGAAACUGUUCAUACUGUCUAGAUUAGGCAAUCUGUGUGGAAGUUUUGAGUGUUCUACUUUGUGGAUGAACACAGCCUAAGUGGAAAAAUAAGGAAAGUCUUGUUCAGAUAGGCGAUUCGUAUGGAAGCCUGAGAGAGUCUAGGUCUGUGUGGUUGAAAUGAGAAAAUUAUUCUGAGUGAAGAACUGUGUGGAAAAGUAGUCUUUGUGGCUGGGUCAGUGAAUAUACCUUUCAGAAUAUACAACUGUUUUGAAACCACCAAGUUUAUGAACCUAUUCUGAAACCAAUAUGCAUAUGUGCUUCUAAAUAAAGUCUACUUCCGGUUAA